rnacentral:tRNA from 1 species
UUUAUAUAGUUUAUUCAAAACUUUACAUUUUCAUUGUAAAAAUAAAAUAUUUAUCAUUUUUAUAAAU